rnacentral:rRNA from 1 species
UACGGAGGGUGCAAGCGUUGUUCGGAAUUACUGGGCGUAAAGGGCGCGUAGGCGGUGCAGUAAGUCAGAUGUGAAAGCCCUGGGCUCAACCCAGGAAGUGCAUUUGAAACUGCUGUACUUGAGUAUGGGAGAGGAGAGUGGAAUUCCCAGUGUAGAGGUGAAAUUCGUAGAUAUUGGGAGGAACACCCGUGGCGAAGGCGACUCUCGGGACCAAUAAUGACGAUGAGGCGCGAAAGCGUGGGGAGCAAACAGG